GAUGAACGCUGGCGGCGUGCCUAAUACAUGCGAGUCGAGCGAACGGACGAGAAGCUUGCUUCUCUGAUGUUAGCGGCGGACGGGUGAGUAAUACGUGGAUAACCUACCUAUAAGACUGGGAUAACUUCGGGAAACCGGAGCUAAUACCGGAUAAUAUUUUGAACCGCAUGGUUCAAAAGUGAAAGACGGUCUUGCUGUCACUUAUAGAUGGAUCCGCGCUGCAUUAGCUAGUUGGUAAGGUAACGGCUUACCAAGGCAACGAUGCAUAGCCGACCUGAGAGGGUGAUCGGCCACACUGGAACUGAGACACGGUCCAGACUCCUACGGGAGGCAGCAGUAGGGAAUCUUCCGCAAUGGGCGAAAGCCUGACGGAGCAACGCCGCGUGAGUGAUGAAGGUCUUCGGAUCGUAAAACUCUGUUAUUAGGGAAGAACAUAUGUGUAAGUAACUGUGCACAUCUUGACGGUACCUAAUCAGAAAGCCACGGCUAACUACGUG
rnacentral:rRNA from 1 species